AUGGAUCUUGUGCUGGAGGAAGCCUUGCGGGCCAUGGCUCGCGCGGUCGACCAGUUCCGGAGCCUGGGCGACAGGCAGAUGCGGAGGUGCCUGCUGGGCGCCGGGGACCACGUCAGCGGCAAGCUGCGGGAGGUGGCGACCCUGCUGGACCAGAUCCGCGACCUCGUCUGGGCCGACGACGAGAGGAGCUCUCCGGCGAGGAGGGAUCGCCUCAAGGAGGCCUUCUACGGCAUCGAGGACUUGGUGGGCGGCAUGGAGUACCACAGCCUCACUUUCCAGGUUGAAUCCGGUAUUUCCUCAAAGUCAAAUCGCAAUCCACUUUCUUCUGCUAUCAGGCUGGGCAAGCGAUUCGUUAGCAGCAGCGGCAGCGAUGAGGCGUCGCGCCGCCGGUUCCUCAAGGACCUCGAUUCCGUCGCAAGCACUCUCAGCUCUCUGCUCAAGCAAGCACAAGGGUCCGGUCUGCCGCCCACCGUUCCGGUGCCCGAUUUUGACGCUGCCACGAUGCUCCAGGGUGGUCACAAGGUGUUUGGCCGCAACAAGGAGCUGAACGACAUCGUGCAAAUGCUGACUGAGCCGCCCUCGCCCCACUGCACUGCCUGCAGGGUUGUCUCCAUUGUUGGCUUGGGCGGUUUGGGCAAGACCACGCUCGCCCAGUCAGUCUACGACGAUACCAGAGUCAAGUCCCACUUUGAUCUCAGAGCAUGGGCACAUGUCUCAGGCAAGCCUGACAAGAUGGAACUCGCAAAGCAAAUCUUGCGUUCAGCCAACCCGAGAUACGGUGGAUCCAUCGACAAAGAUGCCACGUUUGCAACUCUUCAGUUGAAGCUCAAUCGGUUAAUGUCGUCCAGGAGAUUUCUGAUUGUUCUUGAUGAUAUCUGGGGUGACGACCCCUUCACCAACGACGCCUACAACGAAAUCCUCAGUCCACUAAGAUCCAUGGAGAGCGGCAGUAGGAUUAUUGCUGUCACUCGGACACCAAAGGUGGCUGACAUGCUAGAUGCAUCUCACACCUACUUCCUGAAUGCAUUGGGCACUGACGAUUGUUGGUCACUGAUCAAGGAAUCUGCCUUUGGGGGCCGGAGCACACAUGAGGAGUGCACUGAAGAAUUGGAACAGAUCGGGAUGAAGAUUGCCGCCAAGCUCAACGGAUUGCCUUUGGCUGCCAAGCUGAUGGGAGGACUGCUUGGAGCUACAAAGAGCACAAAGUACUGGCGUAUUAUCUCGGAAAAAGAAUUUUCCAGAGAUAUCACUCUCUCCUUGCUGCGGUUGAGCUACAGUUACCUGCCAGGACGACUCAAGCAGUGCUUUGCGUUCUGCAGCAUAUUUCCCAAGAACUGGAAGUUCGACCAAACAACCUUGGUACGCCUUUGGAUGGCCAACGGCUUCAUUCAACCGCAAAGUGGCACUGGCAAAAGGAUGGAGGAUCUGGGCACAGAUUAUUUCAAUGUUCUGCUGUCUCGGUCCUUCUUCCAUGCUCUCAGGCAGGGCCGUCGCACACACUAUAAGAUGCAUGACUUGAUCCAUGAUAUGGCAGUGUCAGCUUCAACCGAAGAUUGCUGUCAAAUUGAGCCUGGCAUGACCCGUCGUAUCCCCUCAACUGUGCGCCAUGUAUCGGUCACCACCGGCAGCUUGCAAGACGUCAAUGCUGCCAUCAACAUACUCCCGAAAAACCUACGCACCGUCAUAGUUUUUGGAAAUUGGACACAUUUUCUCGAAGAUGACUCCCUGGUUAAGCUAAAGAAUCUGCGAGCACUUGAUGUUUGUCACUGUGACUUUACUGAGUUGCCACCAGCUAUUUCCUGUUUAUUCCAUCUCCGUUACUUGUCGCUGUCUCGCACCAUUCGGAGUCUUCCAGAGUCCAUAAGCAAGCUGCUCCAUCUGCAAACCUUGUGCUUUGAAGAUAAGUGUUCCCUUGAUAAGCUUCCUGCAGGAAUAAGUAGGCUUGUAAAGUUGCGGCACCUUGGAAUCGACAUGAAGUACAUUGCACAGCUACCGGGUAUUGGACGACUUAUUAACCUGCAGGGAUCAGUUGAGUUCCGUGUUAAAAAGGGGGGAGGGCAUGCCUUGCAAGAGCUGAAGGGCAUAAAAUGUCUCCAUGGCCAGCUAAAAAUUAAAGGCCUCGACAAUGUCUUGAGCAAGGAUGAAGCCAGCAAGACCGACAUGAAAAGUAAAGAGAAUCUUAGGGCGCUCACACUGGAAUGGAGUUCAGCUUGUAGAAUUCUCACCCCUGUGGCUGAUUGUGAAGUACUGGAAAACCUCCAGCCACAUCAAAACUUGAAGGAACUUAGCAUUGUAAGGUAUCUUGGUGUGACAUCUCCCAGUUGGUUACAGUUGGCAUUGCUGAGGGAGCUGCAAUCCUUGCACCUUGUUAACUGCAGGAGCUUGGGAGUUCUGCCUGCACUUGGCCUUCUGCCAUCCCUCGAACAAUUACAUAUGAAGGAGCUGUGCACGGUCGAGCGAAUUGGGCAUGAGUUUUAUGGUACUGGUGACAUGGCAUUUCCUUCCCUAAAGGUUCUUGUGCUUGACGAUUUUCCCAGCUUGGUCGAGUGGUCUGAAGUGAGGGAAAACCCACUUCCUUGUCUCCAGAGGCUAAAGAUUGUAGACUGCCCCAAACUGAUUCAAGUUCCUGCAUUUCCGCCAUCCGUCUCUGAGCUUACAGUGGAGCGUACAUUAUUGAUAUCUAAUAUGAAGCUUGCUCCUUAUUCUUCAUCACGAUCAGAGAUACUCACCCUGGACAUUUCUACGACCAGUGUACUUUCCAGGGGACUGUUCCAUCAAAGCCAUCUAGCAUCUAUCAUAGUUUUAAACAUAAACGCUGGCUGCAAGCAUCUUGUUGCCGCAGAGGGACUCCACACCUUUACUUCUCUCCAAAAGCUUCAGCUGUGCCACUCUGACAUAUCAGAUCAGAAUUUGGAAAGUCUUCUUCAGGUGCUGCCCUCUUUGUACUCGUUUGAGAUGAUAGAUCUGCCCAACAUGACAUCUCUGGUGCCAGCAAAUAAUAGUUUGUGUACAACAGUCACAGAGUUGCAAAUAUCCAACUGUCCACUGCUCUCUUCUGUAGUCUCCUUGACUACUUUUGUUUCACUGAAACGUUUGGUGAUUGAGAAAUGCCCCAAACUGACGGCAGCAUCUUUCCCAGUAAACUUUUGGAGACUCACAGCCCUCAAGGUUCUGAGCAUAUCAUACUGCACAGAGUUCCAGUCUUUACCUACUUGUGGUCUGCCAACCUCAAUAGAAGCACUUCAUCUUGUUGGGUGUCACCCAAAGCUGCAUGGAAAUUCAAGCAACAAGACUGUCAAUUCCCAAGAGGAAGUUUCUACUCUACACAAAACAUUGGCUCACUGA
rnacentral:rRNA from 1 species